rnacentral:rRNA from 1 species
GAUGAACGCUGGCGGCGUGCCUAAUACAUGCAAGUCGAGCGAACGGACGAGAAGCUUGCUUUUCCGAUGUUAGCGGCGGUGGGGAGAGUAACACGUGGAUAACCUACCUAUAAGACUGGGAUAAUUUCGGGAAACCGGCGCUAAUACCGGAUAAUAUUUUGAACCGCAUGGUUCAAAAGUUAAAGACGGUCUUGCUGUCACUUAUAGCUGGAUCCGCGCUGCAUUAGCUAGUUGGUAAGGUAACGGGUUACCAAGGCAACGAUGGAUAGCCGACCUGAGGGAGUGAUCGGCCACACUGGCAGUGAGCCAGGGUCCAGACUCCUGCGGGAGGCAGCAGUAGAGAAUCUUACGCAAAGGACGAAAGCCUAACAGAGCAACGCCGCGUGAGGGAUGAAGGAGUUCGGAUCGUAAAGCUCUGUUAUUAGGGAGAAACAUAUGUGUAAGUAACUGUGCAGAUCUUGACGGUACCUAAUCAGAAAGCCACGGCUAACUACGUG